rnacentral:tRNA from 1 species
AGCCCUGUGGUGUAGUGGUCAAUCAUUUCGGCCUUUGGAGCCGACGACAGCGGUUCGAAUCCGCUCAGGGCUA